CACUUUAGUAUAAGGGAGAGGGUUCGCUGAUGUGGUCGCGUAAUAAAAUUAGAAAAUGCCGGGGGGGUUUCUGGGUGCCGGGCAGGAGGAAGUACCACCCAUCAACCCAGCAACCCACCAACGGAGCUGCAACAGAGCGGAAACUAUUCGCUGUUGGCCAUGUUCGCCGCUUGGCUCUCAGCUGUUCGUUGUUAGUUGUUAGCUGUCGCCGGUGGCAAAUCUCAGAUGGCUGGCCAUUUCUUGACACUUGACAAACUUGGUUAGAGGGUAUUUGCGGGGCAGAUUGGGCAGCCAGAUAUUUAACUAGCGUCCAGCGAGAGUAAAUCGCAUUAAAGCCAACUCAUUUAACUUUGAAUGCAAAGAUUUCCCAGCCAUAUAAAGAAAAGACUAGAGUUGGCAAAGUACUUAAAUAUAUCAGUUAAAUUAAGUAUGCACUUUAACUGUGUGGUUGGCUUCUUUUAUAUCUUUGCAGCCUUGAAAGUAUUUUUAAAAUUAAAUCGGCAUGCAUAAAAAAAACUAAAAGUAUUUUAAAAUAAAAUUGGAACUUUUAACAACAUGCCUAUCUAAAAAGCUUUGUCAAUUUAAAAGAUUUAAAAUCAUUUACAGAUGCCCUAGGGUAUUUUCACAGUAUAAAUCUAUUUUCGCGCCUAACCUAAUUAUGCAAAUCCAUCAGUAACUGGCCAACAAUUACGAAUAUCAAACACCCACUGACGGCGAACUCUUAUCGAUAUAAAACAAGGCUGCCGGUUCGCGCCAACAGGGGGCGUGUUUGUAGACGCCUAUCAGCUCAUUAAGUCGUCUAUGUCAAGAAAAAUAGAAAAGUAAUUUCCAGGCGUAACAAUUGUUAAUGCACCAAAACGCCGAAUGGGCCACUUCAUUAGCAUUGUCAAGCCAACCGCAAAAUGACUCAACUUAACUUAAAUUUUCAGCUCGGAGAACCGAAAUGGGAAAUAAGUCAAGAUCAAGAUUCUUCAGGCCUUGUCGCGUAAUCUCCUCAACUUGAUGGAUGUGUCUUGCUGUGUGGGCCUCGUGAAACCGACAAAAAAAUAAAUAAAAAAAAGCAACAAAUCCACUUAAAAGCAUACAUAAAUAUCAAUUAAACGUUUGGCCACUGAACUUUUGUUUGACUUACAAAACCGUUCAAGUUGAAGUGAUUUCUGAACCAUGAAAGGCCAUUCAACACACUGAAGGUCAUUGUCUUUGGGGGAUAUUCAUGGGUUUUCAUUUUCGGGUCAACAAUUGGCCCAGCAAUUGUGCAAUUGUCGCUGGAAAGUUAUGCCGAAGUUAACCCAGUUUUUCGGCCCUGUUUGACUUUAAUUUGCAAGCGACACCAAAAAAAAAAAAAACAAAAAAAAUGGCGGAAACGGGUUACGUAGAACACAAGUUUUGACUUCAUGACAUUCCAAUUUGCAUAGAACGGUAAAGAAAGCAAACCUCGCGCUUCCAGGAAACGAAGUAAUGACACUACAAAAAGUCGCUCAAGUGAGUCAUUAAGUUGGCUGAGAGGUCUCUUUUCGCCAUCUCUUUCUACUGACCUAUCCCCGUCUCUGUCUCUUUGUGGAAGCAUAAAGGAAGCAAUCCACACACACCUCAAUGAAACUCAAGGGGCAAGGGCAAACACCUUGAAGAGCUCAAGAGAAUCAGAAGAAAGGUGCACACAACUGCAUUUCCUUGGCUCUUUGUGUGUGGCAUAAAAAAAAGCUCUUGGCCAAAAUGAAUUUUGUCGAGCCAUAAAGGACUUCCUUUGUUUUGCCACGCAAUGAUGUGAAACGGGUCAACAAAAGAGUGAGUUAUCAUUAAAAUGCAAUGGGGUUUGUCCCAAGAAAAUAUAAAUUAUUUUGUUAUAUUAAAAAUGUAGUCUGUUUAAAUUUAUAAGCGCCCAUAAAAAAGACAUGAUAUUAUUAGAAGAAUUUGUAUUGUUACUAUCAUCAAAUGCUUAAGUUCUAAGUUUUUUUUUUUUGAAAAAUUUAAAAGUUAGCAAAAGUCUGGUUUAUAAUUAAACAUUUCAAAAGCGUUCAAAUAAAAUGUAUACAAAUAAAUAGUUCUCAAAUUGUUAUGCCAGUUUUAUGGGUGUGUAACAAUGUCUACAAGCAAUCCCGAAUAAAUUAAGACCACAGAAAGGAACCACAACAACUGCCACGCACAAAAAGUAAACAAUUUUAGAGGUAUUCCUUCACAUUCCCUACCAAUCCCACUUUCUCACAUCCCUAUAACUUUUCCACCAUCGCUUCUUACAUUGUUUACCUUGGCAAGUUUGGCAGGAAGCAGCCACGCUGAUGAUUUUGGCCAACCGAAAAUAUGCAGACAACAAAGACAGAAGGUUACCCAAGGGUGCACAGAGAAAAAAAAAAUGCGAUAGAUAUUUUUUUAAGAAACUAAAUAAACAUAUUAGAGAUCCAAAUUUUAAUCAUUAUUUUAAGCAAUUAGGUAUUAUUUGAAUACUUCAUUUCAUACUUAAUACAUAAUACUUAACAAGUAAUGUUAUUUAAAUAAAAUAUUUAUUUUGAAAAUUAUCUAAAUGUUAAUCCGAGUGUGGAAGACCCUCUCUUUCGCCUUUCUGGAAAACUUUGGGAGGGCAAGAAAGGAAAGCGAGGGAAACCAACUUGCGGGGACGUUGUCAACAUUAGCAGGCUGUUUCCAACCGCAGCGGGAAAAGCAGGGAAAAUUGAGGAGAAAAGCGACAACUAACUACAGCUGACAGUGGCUUGGGCUAAAUUGAGUUGGCAUUAGUCAAACCAAACAGAACUCACUGAGAAAUGGAGAUUGUCUGGAACAAAGAAGCACCUCAAGAGCGAAAUCAUACGUAAGAAAAGUUUGUGCUACCCCCUCUUUUUUCUUUUUGUUUUCCUUUUUUUUUUUUGCUUUUUCCGAGCUUUGCUAAGUAUAUCAAAUUUUUUCCAGCUACGUGUGCCGCUUCUCACGCUCCAGCUUUAGUUCAUCGGAACAGAUGUUGGCAAAAAUAUUUCUUGUAUAGUAUUUCUUUUUCAACUUUUUGACUGUUUUUUUUUUUUUUGUUCAACUGCAACAUUUGUUCAGCAGACAGCGUCGACAUUAUAUUCGGCAAAUUCUCAUAUCAAAAAAACUAUAGGAAUGAGAGUUCAAAGUUUAAAUAUAAACCAAAAUGUUGCUUUCUUGUUUCUUGAAAAUACAGAGAAGAGAAGGUAUUUUGGUUUGAAAAUGAUGUGCAAAUUCCCUCAAGGAAUUGUCUGGACAGUUUGGAAAGUCACAGAAAUGAAUUGUCAAAGCAAUUUACAAAGUGUGGCGUUGAAUAUAUAAAAAAGAAUGAACAAACUUUAUCAAAGUGACGUUAGUAUUUUGCCACAGUUUUGAGUUUAAAUAAAGUAAAAAAUAUAAAUAUACAAUUGAAAGUUUAUCUUACGUUAAUACUAUAUUUAUACCCUUGCAGAGGGUAUUAUAAUUUCAGUC